UCCACCUUCUGGGUGAGUGCCUGGGCUCAGAACAGGAACUUCCGCAGAGUUUGUGGCCAGGUGCGCUCCUAGGAGCUGGGCUGGUUGUGCCUCACAGUCAGCCUGCUGCCUUUAACAAAGAGCUGAUAACUUUGCCUUCCACCUGCGUGAGGCUUCUGGAAGCGUCUACCUGGGUGUUUCCUGGUCCUGCAGCCCCACGCGUGGCACGCUGCAUCCAUCCUAUGCCUGUGGCAGCACCUGCACAGAGCGGGUGCCUCAGAGGUGGACCCUGGAGGCUGCUCAGUCUUGGGAGGCGGACCUGGUGCACAAAGGGUGGUCCACUCUCAGAAGCAGAGGUUCUCAGGCUCCGGCCCAGUGGACCUGUGAGGCGGCCAGAAUCCAGCAUCCCCGCCAGAGCCUCCAGGAGCAGCAGGAGCCCCACAGCCGCCUGAGCAGGAAGACCCCGGUCUGUGUCCGCCUUGGCCGGCAAGAUGCCGCCUGUGUCCGCGGAGGUGAAGACCAGCCCGCUGCAGAAGGCGAACUUCUGCUCGCGCCUGUUUGUCUGGUGGCUAAACCCCUUGUUUAAAAUUGGUCACAAACGGAAAUUAGAACCAGAUGACAUGUACUCCGUGCUUCCAGAAGAUCACUCCCAGCGCCUUGGAGAAGAGCUGCAAGGGUACUGGGAUCAAGAAGUUAAGAGAGCCCAGAAGGACACACAGGGAGCCCUUCCUUAAUGAAAGCAAUCGUAAAGUGUUACUGGAAAUCCUAUUUAAUUUGGGGAAUGUUUACAUUUCUUGAGGAGGCUGAGGAGUGGCUGCUGGUGGCAAAGAUACUGUGGGCUGAGAGCAACCACUGA